rnacentral:lncRNA from 1 species
CAAAAAAAAUCAUAUGAUGAGGUUGGAAGUAAAGUAACAAAAGUAUGUAAUCAAUUUUUGAAUUAGGUUGCUAAAACUUUAUGAGAUUAUUAAAUGUAUAAAGUGCUUUUUCAUGUUGUUAAUGGUCAGGGGAGUACAAGGACGUAGAUUGGGUUCAUUAGGAGGUUUAUGUUAUAUUUAAGGAUUACUCGGAAUUAGUUAUUGAGUUUUCGAGGUUUUAGUGGAUUUUUACGAGUUGGAAGUAAAGAAACAAAAGUAUGUAAUCAAUUUUUGAAUUAGGUUGCUAAAACUUUAUGAGAUGAUUAAAUUUAUAAAGUGCUUUUUCAUGUUGUUAAUGGUCAGGGGAGUACAAGGAUGUUGAUUGGGUUCAUUAGGAGGUUUAUGUUAUAUUUAAGGAUUACUCGGAAUUAGUUAUUGAGUUUUCGAGGUUUUAGUGGAUUUUUACGAGGCCAAGGGUUAAAGACAUCUCUAAUUUCAAUUUUGUUUCUAGGAGUAGGAAAAUUGAAGAUAAAGCAUUGUACAAGAUAACUCUAUAUCAACAACUCAUCUUUGAAUAUAAGGAUGAAAUGUAGGAAUUUGACUUGAAGUAUCAUUCUUUAAAAUCAACCAUGGAGGCCAUGGAUCAAAAGUUAGAGGAUUUGAAAAGAAAUGAUCUACAUCGAAGAGUACCUUGAUGUUUUGAAUUUGAACUACCUCAAAGUUUUGUAUGGUAAUGAUUAUGUAUAACGACCCAACCUUUAUGCUCAAGCUGUUAACUCAUGUUUGUCCACUCUUGGAAAGCCUGAGCCCAUCUUCCCCUCACGAAUUUCUAUAGCGUCAUCAAGAUUUGAACACAUGACCUCCCCUUAAGAGAGAUUCUCAAUUGGUACCACGAUUCAACUAAAGUCUCUCUUGACGCAAAGUCAUGUGUUCGAAUAUUGGGAAUGUGAUAGAAAUUUGUGAGGAGGUAAGAUGUGCUUAGGCUCUCACAUAGUGGACUGUACGUAUAAUAUAAUGGUUUGGGCAUAGAGGUCACGUCGUUACAUCUUGUAUCAAAGAUGAGGAGAAAUCCAAUUGAUGCAAAUGCCAUAGCUAUCAUAAAGUCGCAUUUGAAUAAAAAGUACCUGAAACUUAGAAAGGAACCCAAAAUGGCUAAGAUAGCAUACAAAAAUUAUGAAAGAAAAUUAAGAAAAGGUGUACAAUCAUACAACUUUUGUCAAGAAAGAAAAAGCAAAGCGGUUGAGCCCAUGGCCAAGCUCCAGCUCGGCUCAGCCCAUUUACCACACCUAGCUCAAACAAAUUACACUAGUUGUUGGCAUGCUUUAUUAGAUAUUACGUGAUGCCCGUGUGUUGAUGCUACUAUUUCACAAGUGUAUUUUGAGUGUAAUUUUUGAAGAAAAUGGCUUUGCACUACAUUAACUUAGGUAAUAUCUAUCCAAAGUGCUUACAUAGCUAAUUUACCUAACUCAAAUGAGUGAAGAGAUUUUCUUGAUAUGCAUGGAUUGAUAAUACUUAAUAGGGCACUUUUUAUUGUCACCUUGCAAUUUAUUUUUCCCAUGAACCAUAGUUUUAAACAUCUCAUCAUUGGAUUGAGUAUUCUCAUUUAAGUGCUAUGAAUCAUGGACACUCCUAUUGGGUGGUAUGUCCAUUUUUGACUCAUAUCAUUAGUGCGUAAACUGAUUGUAUGCCAUCACCGAUAAACAUCAUAAUAAGCGAUGUUCACUGGGCCUAAAGAGUGAUGGAGGUGUGCAAAGGUAGGCUCAAGCUAAGAUUCCGCUCGUGAGCGUAAUGGUAUAAGCCUACUCGCUCGGGAGAAGUGGUAAUCCCUAGAUAUUCUCAUCGGUAACGUUCUAGUACACCAUCAAAGAACCAGAGGAAUCUGGUCCUUCCUUUGGAAUAUGGGAAGCCAAAAAUUUUGAUGUUAAGAGCUCACUAUUUAACUCUAGGAACAUGUGCUAAGCAAAUUAAGGAUACGCAAUGCCCAUUUUGUAAAUUUUCGAACGUUAUGCCAAAUUCGAUGUGUGUGGUUUACACAUGCGUGCAUGCUCUCUCUCUCUCUCUCUCGUGAAAUUUAGUUAACCUAAAUUUAUCUUAUUACAACAAAUAGUCUCACCUUUGAUGUAAAAAAUUUCACCUGUAGAAAUUAAAGCUGGAAAUGUAUUAGUUAUUGGAAAAUGAAAUAAGCAUAAAAAUAGAUGUUUUAAGUUUUAGAUUUCAAAUUAACUUGCUCCCAAUGUAUCUGCGUCCUACCUUUUUGAAAAUUGUUGUGCUUUUUAAUUUUAAGGUCAUGAUGACACGAGCUUUAACUUCAUCCCCUAGAUAUCAACAUCUCACAAUCUAUAGCCUCUGAAUAUUUUCAAGAUACAAUCUGAAAUUAGGAAUGCUAAUCCUAUCAUACAGCCAUUUAAAAUUUUUCUUAUAACAGGAAUGCCUUGAGAAGUAUCAUUGUUAAAAUUGGACUGACACAAGAUUGACAUGUCACAUUUUUGCAUCUUUGUUCUUGUGAUAACAAUUAAAAGCCUAUGCCAUCAUUGUAACUUUGAUGCAUGACAGAAACGUCAUUUUCUAAAAGUAUUACAUCAUUGUUCUCACUAACAAUAGGAUUGCCUAUCUAAUUUGAAAAGAUCUUUUUUAAUGACCAUGAGCCAUUUUAUGUUCUUUUUGAUUUCUACGUCUUUUUGUGCCUUCUAAGAGUUGUUUCAUAUAUAUUUCCAAUUUUCAUGAGAUAAAUGUUGAGGGGACAUACCUGUCAAAAAAAAUGUUGAGGGGACAUAGUCUUCACACCUAUUAUGAUAAUCAAAAAUUGAAUUUAGAUAAAACACACGUAUACUUAUCUUUUUUAUUUAGGCGUACUUGUAUUUUCAUUAGGGUAGAAACAACGCUUCCUUUAGUCUAAGGACUUUGUAAAUCACCAAUUGCCAACUAUACUUCUCACCCGUGAGCUCUUUGGAUCAUAUUAAAUUUGGUUGAUUCUUUUUGACAUUAUUGGGGAUAAUUAUAAUUAUUUAACAAAAUAUAGAAGUGUGGUUGAAACAAAUGCGUAAAAAAUUAAGUUGAAACAAGUGUAUUCAUCCAGGGUAGUGUUUAUGGAAAUUUAAACAUGUGGAACUCAUGAACAUUUUGAUUCCAGGAGUGGAAUAGAAUUUGUGUUGGGCCUUAGGAUGAAACCUGAGGCAAAGUAGUCCCAUCCUUUUUAGGUUAUAGUAUCUCGUACGCUUUAUGGAGAUUCAAGCCCUCUAAAGUUCAGAAAAUUCAAGGAAUUGGUGCAGCAAAAUCUCAUGAUUUGUCUACUCUUAUGAUACUAUGGCUUAACUAAAACAUUGCCUAGCUCAAAUAUAUCUGCACUAUUGACUGAUAGAUAUAAUGUUAAAUAUUUGUUAAAAUCAAUUUGUAUACUUGGUUUAAUGCAGUGGCUAAAAAUCCUGUUGUAAGGUUGCUUAAUUUCAUGUUGUUCCUUUCAUGCUUAAAGUGAUUUUAUACCUCCCGUGUACUCUCUUUUAAGGAAUAAAAUUCUCUGAUUACUAUAAAAAAAUAAAAUAAAAUUGUACUAACAUAAUUUCAUAAUGCUCCUAAAAUUAUACAACUUAUCUUUAUCCAACCAAGAUCUCCCGUGAAUUAAUAUGACUUAAAACUUAUUUCCCGUUGAAUGAUUGACUCUAGUUAUUGAGGUUGAAAAUAUUUUUGUCGAGCUAUGUCUUCAUGGAAGCUCAGUUUGCAGUCCAUGUAAGCAUACAGAUAGGAAUGAUUUCAUUAAAUGUCGUUAGCCACGGCUUUGUUUCCAUUCCUCUUCUGUUGUAUAUGUGCAAAUUUAAAUUGUUAAAAAAAUGAAAAAUACAGUGAUAUUUGUAUAUCAGUUAUUCUGUCCAUGCUUGGUUGCCUUUUUUUUGGGUUUAGAUGUAUAAAACCAUUUAGUCAGCAAUAUAUACCCACCAACCGAAGAAAUAUCUAAUAUUACUAACUACUACACAAUGCUGCUGAUCAUAAAGAAAAGUUUUCUACUUAGUUCUUGGGUAAGCUUGCAAAACAUGUUCGAGAUGCAUCUCCCCUGCACUGUCAAUUUAUGCUUGCGUUCAGGCCUGUCUAAAUGAGCGUUUUUCGUAUCUUCAAGACUACAACUGAUACAUUGCCGCCAAAACAUUCUGGCUUCUUGUGAUCACAUUGACUCAUUGACGAGUAGAAUUUCGACAGCAUAUUUGGUACUUGUGCAAAACAGGAUUGAAGAGUAGAAUGGACAAUAGCACCUGUUUGAACCCCAUUUUUGGUAUAGAAUGUAUUUUAGAAUAAUAGAUCGAUGGAGAAUGUGUGGUUAAAAAAUAAAGAAAAGUUUUAGUUUUACGUGUAAUAUUAUUUCAUUGAAGAAUAUGUAGUUGAAAAGAAGAGAGAAAAAAAUGUAUUUUGAAAAUAAAGGGGAUCAAAGAAGGGCUUUUCACCUGUAAAUUAUUUUAACUGUAAUACCUCUCUAGUAUAACCCUGUGGUGACAUUGUACUUAUAGGGUGAUGCAUGCUAAAGAAUUCCAUUUUAUAGGAAAAUAAUCAUUGGCAUCAUAUGCUUAGGAACACACACAAUGACCUUCUCCAUUCUCUUUAAAAGGACUAUCUCAGUAGUUGAAGUGAGAGAACCACCUCUAAAAUUUUUCGUUUAAAAGGCCUAAUUUAGUCACCAAAUGUCUAAGGUAACCUCAAUAAAAAGGACCAUUUUCUUCGCCGGUUAACUCAUUGUUUUUUUUUAUUUUUUUUGGCUAACUCUAAAUCACUUAUUUCUUCAGAUUCAACGAAAACUGCAAUUGCGAAUUGAAGAACAAGGAAAACACCUUCAGAUUAUGUUUGAACAGCAGAUGAAGAUGGAGAAGGAAAAGGAAAAGCUGAAAUCCAAUUCGCCUUCCCUUGAUCAGGAGAAACCCGAACCCGCGGAACUAGUGGCUGCUUCAAGUGAUGCCUUCAUUUCAGCAGCCGAACAUCCAAAUGACAUGCAAAAGUCGCCUGAAAGGAAUAAUGAACUGAGUCGACCAACAAAACGAGCCAAAUCUUAUGAAACCGGAGN